GUUUUGCUCUCAAGCUGGCCCCACACCAUUUUUUGGGCCCCCAAGACUGGUCCCACACCACUCAUGGCCCGCAGCACCACACAAGUUUGUCGCCCCUGCGAGGGCCACAGCGUGGCAGGGCGAGCAAUUGGUUUUGGCAUCUUUCAGUUCUGUUCUUUGUUAAAAGGGGAGAAGAGAUCCCCCAAGCUCCAGCAUUUUCCGCACGGGUGACAGUGAAGAGGACCCUGCAUCCUCAGCUGCCUAGGCUUGGCUCCGAGUUGCGAAGCCUGACGAGUUUCCUGCAGGAGCUGCGUAGGCUGAGCUUCCCCCACCCCCAUAAGGUCAGCCAACAUCUGCAGCCUCCGCGUGGGAAUCCCAGCCGCAUUGCUUUUGAGAGCACAGCCCAGGCUGCGACUUUCCAUUAGCCGGAAUGAGCCUGGUCGGAAGAAGCUCAAGUGUGCUGGCAUCUCUGAGAGUAAGUCUCUCACUGUCCAGAGAGGAGUGAGCUACCUCCUUUGAUACAUUGCUGUCUCUAUUCUGCAAUGCUGGAAUAAUCUUUCUCUUAAAAUAUUUGCAGUCAUUGCAGACCCAGGGACCAGGAAGACUGGAGCCUCACAGAAACCCUCCUGUGACUUCCUGAGACGAAGGUCACCCUGGUCUGGAGAAGGUAUGGGGAGCAGCUGCUUCUCACGCUCACUUCUCAUGCUGGGGUCCCUGGAGUGAGAAGUGGAGAAGUGGUGCAGCAGAAACCCUCUUGCCUGCUUUUCACUCUGGAAUCCCUGGUGUGAGAAGAGUUCAGAGGACUGCUUCAGUCCCUUGGAAAUGGGAGGACUUGAGUAGCCCAUAGUUUCCCCAGAUUGGGAUCACCCAGUGUUGGGAAGGUGUAAAGAGCAGGGGAGAGGGGUUGGCUGCAGGCUGAACAUCUGCACUUCUUCCUUUCCUGGAAUUAUUUCUGGCAAUGGAAAUUUGAGGGAGCACUGGCCAGGAAUUAGACCUGUCGUGAAUUAUCCAUAGGUGGCUUAAACAGAGUCUAGUGUAUAUUAUUUUGUGUGCAGGGGCAACAGUUAACAUUAAAACGUUCCUUGUG